rnacentral:rRNA from 1 species
UUUCACUAGAAUAAUCUCAGAUUAGUUCUCCCGAACUUACAAGAGCUAUCAAUGAACUAAAUUUUUAGGUUAUUAGUUGAAUGAGGCUGUUGCACUAUCCUCGUAAAAGUCAUUGAUAGGGGUGAAACACUUUCACUUCUAAGGAUAGCUGGACAACAGCUAAAUACAUUAAGUGUAUCCUACAAAACUGCUAAGUAAUAAGAUUUAGCAGAAAAAAUUUACGCUUUCUAUAAAUAGUCUUUAAUUUAAAACAUUGAGAAGGAAUUAAAUUUUAUAACUAACCUCGUGAUAUUUAUUUUGUUAUAGCUGCUUUAAUAGGGAAUAUAAAUUAUACCUUAUUAAAUAAUGUGGAAAUUAGUAAGACAAGAAAAAAUUAAAAAGGAACUCGGCAAAUAGUCUUCUUGUCUGUUUACCAAAAACAUAGCGGCAUGAGAUUAAUAUGCGGUGGAAUCUGCCCAGUGAUAAAUUUAACGGCCGCAGUACUUUGACUGUGCUAAGGUAGCAUAAUAAUUUGGCUUUUAAUUGAGGUCUGGUAUCAACGAAUACACAAGGAGAUGCUGUCUCUUUAAUUAUAUUUUGAAAUUAAUCAAUAAGUGAAAAUGCUUAUUAGUAAAAAAAUAGACGAGAAGACCCUUAGAAUUUUAAGAAAUAACCUCGAAAGAAAGAGUACAUGCUUUUUGUUGGGGCAACAUAUUUUCAUUAUAAACAAAAUAAUCUUAUUAGGAUAAACCGAUUAUAUAUUAGCAUAAAAAUUACCUUAGGGAUAACAGCAUAAUUUUAGCAAUAAGUUUGUGACCUCGAUGUUGGACUAGGGACGCCAAGCACGAGAUGUGCUUGGCGAAUGUUCUGUUCGAACACUAAUUACCUACACGAUCUGAGUUCAGACCGG